AUCUAGGAGUUUCAAAACCAAUUAAAACCUAAUAAUACAUUUCGUUUAUCUUGGUGGAAAUUGGUGAAUCGUCAUUCACCUACCUUCAAAUAUUUUAUAGCUUGGAUUACGGCAUACCUCUUCUAAGUUAUAAAAUAGUUUGUUGGGUCCUAGCCUUAAUAUUUCAUAUUGGGUGUCAUAUUAAGGACUUUAAAUCAACUAUCUUGAAUAUCUCCCAAAAGAUGUCUGGUUUAGACACCUAUGAUCUUCCCAAAUCUCUUGAAACAAGGUUUCCUAAUGAAGAUGAUGUCCCAUGGAUAUCAUACUUCUUCACCUCUUCAAAUUAUUCUCCCUAACCCACAAGUUCUUGAAAAGUUUAAGGUCACUCAGGCCCUAUUGGCAAGGCAAGGUCUAGGUGUGGUCACAUCUUGGAGAUGUAGUCACAUAUUGACAAGCCGGGAGAGUUGGGUGUCAAAGUCUUGAGAAAGUUGGUGGUUCAACCACUUUCUAAGUCACAUAGUGAGUUCCUUUGGGACACCUAUGAAACAGACUAUGACAAGACCCUUAAUGAUCUUAUCUAUUUGCUAAGAUCAACUUCCUAAAACUUUAUGGACAUUGACAAUGAUGACAUUGGAUAUCCAGUAAAGCAUUCUCUUCCCAAUGGAAAGGGAUCGGCUAUAGUCAACUCGGUUGACCAAAUGGUAAAGAGAAAAGCUAAGUCUGUGAUAGUCCUGUGUACCAUUAUCAAAGGGUCCAUAUGUUUGUAUUGCCAAAGAAAGGGCAUUGGUUGCGAAGCUGCCAAAUUUACCUAAGGAUGUUAAAGUCAAUAAGUUUGACUCUACUUCAGGUAAAAUCCACUAUCUAACUCUGUUAAGUUUCUAUUCUGAGAUUCUUGAUACAUGAUGUGACCGGGUCGCAUGGUGAUGGUUUAAGAAUCAAAGGAAAGUGAAGAAACUUAAAGGAAGAAUAUGCUGAAUCUGAUCGCAUAGAUGGAUUUCUAUCGCAUAGUUUGAAAAAUCGGAUUCUUGAGCUACUUCUUAGGAGUUAUGAGAUAUUGCUUAGGAAUAGAUAACAACAAGUUUUCAUAUGGAUUGUAAGGAUAGUUUUUCCGCAAAGUUUUAAAAUAAAAGGAAAUUUUUGAUUUUAUUUAUUUUAAAAUAUCCUUACAAUGGCAUCUGUGGAAAUUUUUGUUGCUUAUAAGAUUCCAUUAGUAGCAAGAGUGGAAGUAUGAAAUUGAUUCUUUCAUUUGUGGUAAUGUCUAAAUUUACCAAAUAAGGAAAGAUUCUCAUCACCCAAGUUUCAAUUGGACCGGAACUUGGAAUCAUGCAAGUUGUAUAGCAUGAUGAAUGAGAACUUUCAAGUUUUGGAAAAUUAAGACUAAUUACUUGUUCACAUGGAUGUGUGAGUCAAGUAAAGGACUUAGGGAUCGAGUACACAUUCUUGUGCACUGAUUAAGUCCACCACUAAAGAUCGAUAAGAAGAAUCAAAUAAGGCAGAAGGAUAAAAGUUUCUCAAAUCUGAAAAGAUGGGAGAGUACUUUAGUAUCAGUUUUGUGAUCAUCUUAAUGAUUAAGAAACCAUAUCAAAAUUAGUUCUCUAAGGAAAUCUUAGUGCAUUCUUAUGACUAAGAAGAGGAACUUGAAUUGUUGAAAUGGUUAAAUCAAGAAGAUGAGUCAUACUUCGUUCCAAUACAAGUCUUAGAGUCAUACUCCAAGAUUGUCAUUUGAGUGACAUGUCUUAAAGAAGGUUUAAAACACUUGUCAAAUGUAAGAGUAAAAGUUUUCUACUCUUGUACAUUUGAAAUUGGUAAGUUGUGAUGUUUUGGAUAAAACAAAGACCAACUUAGGCCAAUUGGGUAAAGUGUUUUUCUUGAUUAGAAUCCGCACUAUCUCUUGGAUGUUUGACAAGGGAGUCUUAUAUGUCAAGAGGACAGUGGGAGUCUUAAAGGUCUUGAAAGUCUCAAGAAAUAAUCAAGAAUAAAACCUAAAGUUCUUCACUAGCACACGACUUGAGGUUCAUAACCUAUCGUGUUGACAUAUUCUGUGCCCAUUCCAGUUAAAGUUGGUUUUGCAUAUGAGUUCUUAGAGUUCUCAAUUUGUUGCACAACAACUUGGAAGCAAUGGCAGGCCCUUGAGCUGCCAGGUGGCAAGAAGUUAAGAUUGAGUUCAAUCCAUAUGGUUUUGGAUUUGUCAUUAUCUUUGUCUUGUGAUUAUGGUUUGACAAAUUCAUAUGGGUAGGAACUCAUACACCAUAUAAAUCUAAGUGUCAUAAGGUUUCUCUCCGAUUCAUGAAAAUGAUGGUGAGGAAACGCUUUCACUAAGUAGAUUUUACGAAGAUAUCAAUUGUGUUAUUUGCAUUUUCAAAAGUCGUUAGUGGAGCGCGUGUGGUUAACCGGCACACUAACAUGGACUUGUGAGAAAUGGCAAAUGCCUAAGCAAUUGAGACCAUGAUUACGGUAUCCCUUUUCAUGGUUCUUGAAAUUGCUUAGACACACAGGUGAGCUAUCUACGGAAAGGGUGUAUGAAUCUAAAUUUCAGACUGUCCAGCUGAUUUCUGAGUACAUGUCAAAGCUAGUGGGAGCAUAAGUGUUAUGCUAAUAAUCAUCAUGUUAGUGGGAGCAUGAUAAUUAUGAUAAGUAUUGCAAGUUAGCAAUGUUAAUUAUAGAAAACAAAAGUUUCAAUUGGGAAAAAGUUGUUUUGCUAUAAUUAAGGGAGAGGAAAUUAUGCUUCAUCUCAAAUCUAUAAGCUUAGAUCGUGAGGUUUUAAUCAUUUAGUCAAGGAUAUAUAUGAAUUUCAUGUUGGAAUGGCUCAACAUAAGGAAAUUCUGUAUAUGGGUCCAUUAUUUGCGUUCUAAAAUUCGAUUAUGAUUACGGCAUCCCUUUUCAUAAUCUGAAUUAUGAGAACUUGGCAAAUUGAAAUGGAAAUAUUAUAGCAAAAGACUGGUUUAGUCUUUAUGUAAGACAUCAUGAAUCGUGUCCCAUAUGCUUCGGAUAUAGGAUCGAUUACAUGUGCUAUAUUCAUCCGUUCUAAAAUUUUCCAAAUGCCUGGGGCAUUAAGAAGGGAAAAGGUUUAGAACUGGAUAUGACUAAAAGGAUUAAACAAUUGUCGAGGACAAUCUAAGGUUUACCAAAGAUUGGUUACUCAAGGACAAUUGGAAGUAUAGUGAUAAUUCUGGAAGGACCAUAUUGACAUAAUCUGUAAGGAGGCAACUCUUGUUCAGAAGUGAUAGUCAAAAUGGAAUCUGGAAAUGUUUCAAAGUUAGAAUUUUCAAUCUGUGUAAGAUUAAGGAAACUUAAUGCAAGAAGGAUAUUUCCAAGGAGUUGAUCUCCUUUGGAAUACUCUGUAAUGAUUGUUGCCAAGUCUUUGUGACUUUGUGCAUAAUCAUUACAAGAGGAUCAAUGCAUAUAAGUUUAGAAUCUAACAGAUUUCAGUAAAUGGCAUGAAUUUGGAAUUCUUGCAUUUGCAGUAAGGAUUUGGGAGUGUGAAAAGAGAAUCAUUGAAGUUAUGUUCAAUUGAUCUAGUUCACAAAGUAAAGAUCAUAGACAAACAUAGUAUGCAUACUUGGUGUGUGGCAUGACUAGUGUUUAAGAAAACAUAGUGUACAUGCUUGGAGCAUGGGACAACUAUUGUUUUAAAUUCAAGAAUAAAGUUGAUAGCUGAAACAGUAUACAAUGAAUAAUGUGUAAUCAUAUGGUGAUAAAUAAAAGGUGUUUUAUUUAUGUUCAAAGGGUUGAUACCAUAUUGGAUUCAAUUAUUAUUGUGUUUCAUUUUGCAUGUUUUGACUUCCCGAAUAAACUGGGUUAUUCUUCCGGAAUGACUAAGUUAUUCAAACCAUCCACAGUCGGUCAUAUGUUGGAAGUAGAUAUGAAUUAAGACUGUCAUGGGUUGGCUUGUAGAGGUCUAAGGUGUUGGACAAAGGGCUACAACACUCAUGAGUGCUCAUAAGUUCUGAGUAUUGGAUUCAACCCGCGCUCAUUGGAAUCACUUCAUGGAUUUUAUCACGAGUGAUCAUGAGACGAUAAUAUCUUAUAUUCUUCAAACCUAGAGAUAUGAGUUGUUACUAUGAGUUGAUAGUACAUUGAUUGCACGAAAACGCAUUUGGUAACUCGGUGCUAUAAAACGUGCCUUUGUGUAUGAUUCAACAAGUAGUAGAACAAGCCAUAUGAGUCGAAGUUUAUCCAUUCCUUUUACCUUCGGGAUAAAAGCGAUAUCUGUGGGCCCCUCGAUGAUUUGAUGAUGACAAAUGGAAGUGCUCGGCCGGGCCAGGACUGAUUUGAUUUGUUCAAUUAGUCAGUCGUCAUAAAUCGGAAAUCGGGAAACAACAAAUGGACAGAGAGAAUGAUUAUAAUCCAUGUCUCAGUCCAUAUGAUAUCUAGAAUGGAGGAAUAUAUGAUCCCUUAUCUAAUGGACAAGUCAUUGACAAAGGUCAGAGUUCAUCUACAAGGUCAGAGUUCGACAGAAGCUUUUGAGAGCUACGAUUGCCAGUUGGUUCCUGAAGUCAUACGCAAUAAUAGUUUUAGACUUAUCCAAGUGGGAGACUGUUGGAUUAAUGUCUAAGUCCAUAACUAUAAUUGGUAAGACUUGACCCGACCCGGCAUGGUCCAUUUGGGUUGCAUACCAUCAUGCACUUGGAUAGACUAUAAUGAGAGAAAUAAGACACUUAUGGUUAUUAAUAUAUUAUAAGUUCUAGUAUAUUAAUAAUAAGAAUAAUAAGAUUAUUUAAUUAGUAUUGAUCAAGAAUUAAUCUAGGAUUAAUUAAGUGAUCAAAAGAAGACUAAUUAAAUAUAUGGGUUGAUUGUGUAAAUCAUCCAUACUUGUAUAGUGGGCUAAUGCUCCAUGGAUAAUCAAGUUGGGCUAAAACCCAUAGGAUGGUCCAUGGAUGCUCCAUGGUGUAUUUGUACCCAUGGAUCCAAGGAAAUGGAAAGCCAUGACAAUUAAGAGUUUACCCUAAUUGUGUAACUAUAUAAGCAUCUUAUUAUUGAGGAAAAAUCGGCCACUAGUGAUAGUGAAGAAAGGGCUAGCCGAUUUUGAAGAGUGUAGAAUUCUCUCAAGUCAUUCCAAGUGUUUUGAUGAUUGUGAUUCCAUUUGAGGUGUCACACUUGGGGCACUAGGCACUCAAGCUUCAUGAAGACUUUCUACAUCAAAGAGGUAUGUAUUCUAUCUUGUUAUAGUCAUUGUUUUGUAUGCUAGAUUAGGAUAAUACCUUGGAAGUUCUUAUUUGCAUGUAUAAUAGAGAAAACAUAGAUCCAAGGUAUUUAGGGUUGCAUGUACACUUAGGAGUGUUAGAAUGCUCAAAACCCAACAGUGGUAUCAGAGCCUAGGCUUGUUUUCUUGUUAUACCUGCAAUAGAAGCUGAAAAAACGAAUCUGGUGCUGUCUGGCCAUCAGACUCGGCGAGUCCAUCAGGAGACUCGACGAGUCCAUGCCUAAAAAGUGAUGAAUUCGAUCCAACUCGCCGAGUUUGUUCAUGCACUCGACGAGUUGGACCCCCAGACAGCAUAUUUUCGAGUUUUUUGGCUAGAAAUGGACUAGGAACAUUACCCUAAGUUGUUUUUGAACUUAUAAACUUGUUUUUGAUGUGGUAAUGUUCAUGCUAAUCCAUUUUCAAAGAUAAUUGUCAAUAGAUUCAUGUUUUGUAUUAGUUUAAGGUUUAGACUAAUUACAUGAAAAAGUUUGAUUUGAAUUAUCUUGUUCUUAUGAGUUGCUUAGAUUAAUAGAAAUGUUGAGUGAAAUAGUUGUUUUCAAUCCAUUUUAAUCUAAGAGUUGAGUAUAAAAUGUGUUUGUGUAACUUGUCCUCAAGUUACAUGAAGAGUCACAUUAAAGACUCAUAAAACUCAUAAAAGUUGGCAAUGGUUACAAAAUGAAGAGUCUUGUGUCAUUGAAUAAUUUUUUUUGACUCCAUAACUUGUCCUCAAGUUAUGGAAGUUCAAGAGUCACUUCAUUAAAGAAAAAUAUGUAACCAUAAUUAAAUCCAUAAGUUAUAAAAUAAAGAAAAAGUUAGUUCUUUUAUUAGUUUAAAGUCUUCCAUAACUUGUCCUCAAGUUAUGGAACUUGAAGAGUUUUUGGAUUAAAACUACUUUAAACACAUAAGUUAUGGAAUUAAUUAGUUUUGAAUAGUUUCAAAACUUGCCCUCAAGUUUUGGAAUUUGAAAAGUUUUCAAGUAUGAAUACUUUAAUUCCAAGUUAGCCCUUAGAAUUUUAAAAGUUAAAAUUCAACCCUUAUACUUUAUAAUAUUAUAAGUUAAUAAUAUAUAUAUGUAUAAGAGUAAAGUCAGUCUUACCGCUAGUACGCCUCAUUCACGAAGCCGGUCUAUAAGGUGGGUAUAAGGUUGUUGCCUAUAAAAUGGCAACUUAAUGGGUGUCCACUCUCACCCACCGCUUGCUUGACUGGUGGAGGGUCGUUAGCCGAACGGGUUUGACAGGACUAGAAUUCUCCCUUCAUUAAAAGUAUUAAUGAUAAUACUAAGUAACUAAACUCUUAAUAAUACCCAAUCUUAGUUACUUAGGAAAAAUGUGAAUAAGGUGCUAAUCCAUGAAAUUACACUUUACACUUUGUCUAAGUCGUUAGUGGAGCGUGUGUGGUUAACCGGCACACUAACUUGGACUUAACAAGGUAGGUAAAGGGUGACUUAAUAUUUAUCAUAGUAUCGAUGGAGCGUGUGUGGUUAACCGGCACAUCGAUUGAGGGGUAAUUUAUUAAGGGUACCAAGUGAUUUGCAUGGUUACUUCACACCUUGUUUUGUGAUCCUCGGCAUCCCAGUCACAAAACCUGAAGGGCACACUCGAGAUUGAAACAUGCCUUUGAAAAGUUCAAUGAAUCUCAAAGAUCUAGGAGUUUCAAAACCAAUUAAAACCUAAUAAUACAUUUCGUUUAUCUUGGUGGAAAUUGGUGAAUCGUCAUUCACCUACCUUCAAAUAUUUUAUAGCUUGGAUUACGGCAUACCUCUUCUAAGUUAUAAAAUAGUUUGUUGGGUCCUAGCCUUAAUAUUUCAUAUUGGGUGUCAUAUUAAGGACUUUAAAUCAACUAUCUUGAAUAUCUCCCAAAACAUGUCUGGUUUAGACAUUUAUGAUCUUCCCAAAUCUCUUGAAACAAGCUUUCCUAAAUGAAGAUGAUGUUCCAUGGAAAUCAUACUUCUUUCACCUCCUCCAAUUAUUCUCCCUACCCCACAAGUUCUUAAAAAGGUUAAGGUCACUCGAACCCUAUUGGCAAGUGAAGGUCUAGGUGUGGUCACAUCUUGGAGAUGUAGUCACAUAUUGACAAGCCGGGAGAGUUGGGUGUCAAAGUCUUGAGAAAGUUGGUGGUUCAACUACUUUCUAAGUCAUAUAGUGAGUUCUUUUGGAACACCUAUGAAACAGACUAUGACAAGACCCUUAAUGAUCUUAUCUAUUUGUUAAGAUCAACUUCCUAAAACUUAAUGGACAUUGACAAUAAUGACAUUGGAUAUCUAGUAAAGCAUUCUCUUCCCAAUGGAAAGGGAUCGGCCAUAGUCAACUCGGUUGACCAAAUGGUAAAGAGAAAAGCUAAGUCUGUGAUAGUCUCGUGUACCAUUAUCAAAGGGUCCAUAUGUUUAUAUUGCCAAAGGAAGGGGCAUUGGUUGCGAAGCUGCCAAAUUUACCUAAGGCCUUGGCCUUGAAAGGAAUAGGGUUUAGACCCUAUUGUAUGUUAAUAAUAUUGAUUGUGUGAUCCAAGCCUUUGGUUUGUGUUUUGGAGUUAAAGGGUAAAAUGGGAAAAGUGAUGUUUUGGACUGCUUUCAUGAAUUAAGUAUUUUAGUUUCGUAUUUUUUAAGUCAAAAGUAAUUAGAUAGAACCGUGGGGCUUUUCAAUACCUUUCCAUGCAUAUAAAGAACGCCAAAAACAGAGUGUAAUGGGUUUUAAUGAAUUACACAGGGUGUAAUUUAUGUUACGCACGACGUAAUCUAGGCAAAUCAAAACCCUAAAUCUUCAGUUUUGAGCCCUGCUUAACGGCUCUAACUUAUGGGAAACCCUCUCAUUACUAGCCUCCAUCACCUAAGAUCAUUCCUUGAGGAACCCUAGCCUCAUUUCACUUAUUUUUGAGCAUUGGCAUCAUUUAUGAGCUUAUUUCUCCAUUGGAAGGUUGAAUCUUGAAGAGCAAGGUGGUGGCAAAGUGUAUGGAGGAAAAGUUCAAGUAGAGAUCCAACAAGGUUACAUCAUUCAUGAACCAUUCUGAGUGAAAAACUUCUAACUGGCUCACGGAUUUCAUAGAUCUAGCUAUUUGUCAUAUUUGCCACUUUUUAGUCAUUUUAGUGCAUAAAGUUUAGAUCUUGAAAGUUUGUGACCAUGUUAUGGAUAAAGUUGGAAACUUUAUCCAUCUAAACAUCAUAAUGAUUCAAAUAUUAAGGUUGGAGACUUUAACUUGAUGGAUUAAGAUAAGAAAGAUGCAUUUGUGGUCCCUUUGAGACUUAAAGACUAGAUCUUGGUUGUUUGGACCAUCCUAAUGGGUAAAGUUGGAAACUUUAUCCAUUAUGGAGCUAUUAGGAACCAGAUCUGAGCUUUGAGGGAAAGGUCUUAAUGAAAUAAGUGCUUAAUGUGAGUAUUGGAACUUGAGGCAAUACACCGUGUGUAAUUUAGGCUACACCUUGUGUAGCCUAACUGAGGCCCGUUUUUGAGGAUUGAAGCUCGACACCCAACAUAGAGCUAGAGUACACAACGCAUGGGUCAACAAAGGGUUGAUCGUUGACUUUUUGACCAAUUUGACUUUUGGUCAACAGUGAGGGUUUAAGAAUUGGAAGGGGAAAAUGGUCUUUUGCCCAAAUAAGGGUUAGCCUUGUUAUUUUUGGACAUGUUAAGUUAGAAAAUUUCCUUAAUGGUUAAUCUGGGGUUGUUUUGGUUAUGUAUAGAGUGGGGAGCUUUUGAUAACAGCAACUCGAGUGUGUGUUUUACCCAACUAUCGAUUGAGGUGAGUCUUUUCACUAUACUUGUGGGGCGAAAGCACUAAUGCAGGCCCACUGGCUUGUGUUAUGUAGGAUGGUAGUUGUCUUUGUGACUCUUGCAUGUAUGAUUGGGUUGAAAUGUACCCCAAGGCUGGGCCCCCAGAGUCAGGCUCAUAGUUGCAUGUUUGGGUUGAAAGAAACCCUAAGGCUAGGCCUAUUAUUAUAUGUUUGGGUUGAAAGAAAACCUAAGGUUAGGCCUAUUAUUAUAUGUUUGGGUUACAAUAAACCCCAGGGUUGGGCCCUAGAGCUAUGUCAAUGGUUGUAUGUUGGGUUGAAACAAACCCCAAGGCUUGGCCCACUGAUUAGUGUAACGCCCGGUUCCCAUGUAAAUUCAUUAAAAUUCUAAGUGUUUAUUUAUUUUGCAUGGUGGCCUAUUACACAGGGCGUACCUUGUCGAAGCUUGGACAUAGGGUUUUCCCCCUUGUACGAUGGGCACCUAGAGUAUGCAGGGCAUACUCGAGCCAGGGGCAAACCUUAAAAUUUAGGGUUUGGACCCUAUUUAAGCACCUUAGAACCUAAAGACCUUUUAUAUCAUUAGCCUCCUUCGUCCCAAAGCAGUUCCCAUGAAACCCUAGCCCCUUUUAGAGAGUAUUGAGCCUUUUGUGUGGUUCGUUGUGUUUUUGUACAUCUUGAAGAAAGAAGAACCCCUUUGGAGAAGCACUUGUUAAUUUGAAGCUUGUGGGUCUAGAAUCUAUUCACCUUGAUCAUCCCCUUAGAGUUAUAAAGUCUCAACCUUGUUGAUUCAUCUCUUAGAUCUAGUUAGUUAGGGGUUUCAGCAUAUUUUGGUCCCUUUGAGUUGAUUCAUGUGAUUAUAAGCUACUUUAGAAGCUUAGGAUAGUAGAUCCUGAUGUUUUUGAGGUCCCAAAUGCAUAAAAAUAACAUGUUGAUGACUUUAACUCAACCGUGAAAUAGUUUAUGGUCAUAUUAUAGAGUUAGAAGGUUAGAAAUGAGUUUUGGGCCUCUUUGAGCCAUGCAAAGGCAUCAAGUUGAUGACUUUAUCACUUAAGACAUUUUCCACGACCAAGAUCUAUGAUUUUUAUGUUUAGACUUAAGGCAUUAAGUGCUUGAUGUGAUUUUAGCUAUUAAGGGAGUACGCAGGGCGUAAAUAUGAGUACGCCCAACAUACUAUGUUCAACCCCGUUUUUUCCCUUGCUGUUAGAGCUUGUACGCGAAGCAUAACAAGGUGGUAUGCUUAGUGUACUCACUAAAGGACCUUUGGAUCACUAUUUCGUCCAUUUUGGGCCAUAGGGUUAGUUUGGGCCAUUUUGGGCCUUGGGUUUGGUUUGGGCAAUUAUAGGUUAGCCUUUCCUAGAUGGUAACAGAUCUAACAAUCAUAGUCGUUUAUCAACUAUAUCCAUCUUCGUUGCCUCAUGUUGAUCUCUUUUUGAUUUAAGACGUGUUGUAGACUCUUGUGAUCAGUGUAUAUGAUACACUUUGUUCCAUAACGGUAAUGACACUAGAUUUUUAGGGAAAAAACUACAGUUCCCAGUACUAGGUCAUGGGUGGUGUAGUUUUUUUCAUGCACCUUUAGUUGUCGUGAGGCGUUGGCUAUGACUUUCCACCUUUGCAUCAAUACGCCCUCAGACCUUGAUGUGAAGCAUCACAAGAUAUGAUGAAAUCAUCAGUGCCUUCUGGGAGGGAUAGUAUUGGUUCACUACACAACAUUUCCUUCAGCCUUUGGAAAGCUGCUUCUUGUUUAUCUCCCCAAACAAAUUUCAUUUCCUAUUGGGUUAGUGUUGUGGGUUUAGCUAUACGGGAGAAAUUUUCUAUAAAUCUCCAGAAAUAGCUGCCUAGUCCUAAAAAUUGACGAACUUUAGUGGGUGUACUUCUCUUAUCCAAAAUUCACACUUAGAGAAUUUUGUGUACAACUUUUCUUUCCUUAAUAGCUCUAGGAUCAUUUCAAGAUGCUCUUCUGUGGUUCGUGAGUAGAUUAGAAUAUUGUCAAUGAAAACUAUCACGAAUUUAUCCAAGUAGGUUUGGCAUACUCAAUUCAUAAGAUCCAUAAAAAUAGUUGGGGCAUUAGUCAACCCGAAAGGCAUGACUAAGAACUCAUAAUGACCAUAUCGAGUUCUAAAAGCAGUAUUUGGAAUGUCCUCUUUCAUAACUCGGAGUUGAUGAUAUCCUGAUCUUAAUUUGAUCUUGGAAUAGUAACUGGAUCCUUGUAGUUGAUCAAAGAGAUCAUCUAUUCGGGGUAGUGGAUACCAAUUCUUGAUAGUCAGCUUAUUCAACUAUGUAUAGUCGAUACACAGCUGGAAAGAUCCGUCUUUCUUCUUGACAAAUAGGAUGGGCACACCCCAAGGAGAGAAAUUUGGUAUAAUGAAGCCUUUGUUAAGAAGGUCUUAUAGCUGACUAAAGAGCUCUUGCAUCUCUGGAGGUGCUAAUCUAUAAGGAUACUUUGCUACUGGGGCGACUCCUGGGAAUAGGUCGAUCCUAAACUCUACUUGUCGAGCUGACGACAGUCCUGGUAGCUCUUCUGGGAAUAUGUUAGGGUAAUCGCACACCUAAGGUAGCUCUUCCAUCCUCUUCUUCUCAUUCUUCUUAUCGAGGAUGUGGCCUAGGAAGGCAUAAUACUUCUUCUGCAAGUAUUUUACAGCCUUCAUGCAGGAAAUGAUCGUAAGGUUUCUAGUAGGUUUGUCACCGAAGAUGGUUAAGGAUUCUCCGUUAGGAUUAGCACCAUGAUAAAGUCAAAGAGUUUGGAUUCUAUAAAAGUGAAGAUGAGUCUUGUGUAUAUGUCAAAGCUAGUGGGAGUAUAGUGACCUUUCUAGUCUUGUAUGUUGAUGACAUACUCCUUAUAGGAAACAAUAUUCCAACUUUGCAAGAAGUUAAGUACUUGCUUGGAAAAUGUUUCGUUAUGAAGGAUCUAGGGAAGUGGCCUAUAUUCUUGGAAUAAGAAAUCAUCGGGACAGAAAGAAUCAUCUUAUUGGUCUUAGCUAGAGUACAUAUUUGGAUAAAAUACCGAAGCAUUUUAGUAUUGAGAGUUUAAAGAAAGGAAAAUUGCCCAUUCAUAGUAUUGUUAAGUUGAGUACGACUCAAAGUCCCCGUACUGAUGAAGAGAUAGUUUACAUGAGUUGAGUCCCAUAUGCUUCGACUGUAGGAUCGAUCAUGUAUGCAAUGUCAUGUACUUACCCUGAUGUGUCUUAUUCUUUGAGCAUGGUUAGUCGAUUUCAGGGAAAUCCUGGCAAAGUCCAUUAGAUUGCAAUGAAGAAUAUUCUUAAGUAUAUACAAAGGAAAAAAGACGUGUUUCUAGUUCUUGGUAGAAGUGAUACAUUAAGAGUGAAUGGUUUCACCGACACCAACUUUCAAACAGACCGAGCCAAUUUUUGUGCCCAAUAUGGUUGGGUAUUCUUUUUGAAUGGGGGAGCGGUUACUUGGAAGAGUUCCAAGCAAGACACGGUGGCUAAUUCCACCUGUGAAUCAGAGUACAUUGCAGUGAAUGAAGCAUCGAAGUAAGCGGAUUGGCUGGAGAACUUUAUCGGGAAUCUUGGAGUCGUUCCAACUAUUCAAGAACCAAUGGAGUUGUUCUGUGAUAAUGAAGGCACGGUUGGUUUGACAAAAGAAUCAAAGGAUCAUGGUAGAUCCAAGCAUAUUGAAAAAAAGUACCAUUACAUUCGACAUCGGGUUGAAGAAGGACACCUUUUGGUGAAGAGAGUAUCAUUAGAGGAUAAUGUUACAGAUCCUUUCACAAAGGCUUCAAGCAUAGUCAAACAUUACCAACAUGCUAGGAGCAUAUGCUUAAGGGAUGAUGUUAGUUUUAGUAGUUAGUUGAUAUUUUGAAACUUGUGACAACAUAAAUAUAGUUGACUUUGGUAAAUGAAUAAUAGAGAAUUAUUUAUGAGUAUUGUACAACCUUUUCAAUUAUUUAUUCUUCUGUAUCAUUUUGCAUGUUUUACAUCCUGAGUAAUUUGAAUUAUUCAAACUUCCACAGUCGUUCAUACUUUUGGAAGUAAUUAAUGAAUUAAGAUUGCCAUGUAUUUAUUGUAGAUUUCCGAUUAAGGUUAAGACAUUGCAAUUGGAGUUGCUACAAUAUUCAUGAGUACUUUGAAAAUAAAGAUUUUAAGUAUUGGAUCAGCCCACACUUAGAGAUUACUUCAUGGGUCUAGUCACGAUAAUUCUAAGAUGAUAAUAUCUACUACUCUUCAAAUGGAGAUACAUAAGUUGUAAUUUACAAAUCGGUUGUAUAUUGGUGUUAUGUAAACGCAUCAGUAACUUGAUGUUAUAAAAGGUAGCAUCAUAUGUGAUUUGGUAGGUAAAGUUUACAAUUAUGUAGUCAAAGUUUAGUCGUUCCUUUUUCCAUAAUAGGAAAAGCGAUAUCAUUAGUCCCCUCAAUGAUUUGAUGUUGACAUUAUAAUGUUGGGCCCAGCCAAGACUAAUUGAUGUGUUUAAUUUGAAGUCUAAUAAAGUCUUUACAAAUCGGGAAAUCGAGAAAUAAAAUCUUGGACAAUGAGAUUGAUUCUGAUCCAUGUCUCGUGUCCAUAUGAUAUCAUGAAGAACAAAGGAAUACCUGAUCACUUAUCUAGGGCCAAUAAUUAAUUUAAAUCAGAGUUUGGUAGUGGAUUUGGAAAGCAUUAUUUGCUGUUUAGUUCAAGGUCUAUACUUGCAAUUGUAGUUACAGACUUAUGCAAGUGGGAGACUAUUAGAUUAAGGUUUCUAAACCAAUAACCAAAUUGGUAUAUUCAUGAAUUAAAAGCAAAACCCUUUUUGGGUUGUCCUCAUAACCAAUAACUGAAUAAAAUGACUUUUGGAGAGAGAAAUUGAUUUGUUAAUUUAUUAUUCGACUAAUAAAUUAAUUAGAAAUUGAACUAAAUUAUUUAUUAAAAUAUUACCUAAUUAAUAUAUUAAUUUGAAAUAGUAAUUAUUAAUUAAAAAUUAAUCAGAAAUUAUUUUGAAUAAAUUUCAGGUUAAUUAGAAUUAAUUGAUAGUGUAUGGGCUACGAUGUAAUUGUUCAAUAGUUGAACAAGAGAGGUUCCAGAACCUUCCUAGAAGGGGGAUGGUUUUGGGAAGCCUCUUUGGGUUUCUAGAAUGAUUCCUUAUAGACAAAUAAGAAGUUGGAUAAUUACCUAAUUUAAGAUAUUAUUAUAAUAUUUAAUUAGGGUUAUCCAAGGCUUCCUUAUAAGCUAUAAAUAGGACAAAUAAAGUACCUAUUUUUCGUGAACUCCUCCUUACUCCCAUAGAGCCAAAAAUAUGCUCUACCUUUCCCCUCUCCUCAGGUCUUCUACUUACUAGGGUUUGGGGUACAAACCAUUAGAGGCAUUCAUGUUUUUGGUGCUUGCUUUCCAAGGAAUUUCAAUAGGAUUUGAUUUGAUUAUUUUUUAUAAUAAUAAAAAGGUAUGUAUCCCUACUCAUAUGUUUCCCCUAGGGUUUCUUGAUAUUCAUAGUUUAUUGCUAUCAAUAGAGGAAACAUAGGUCCUUUCUAGGUUGCAUGUGAACUUAAGGGUUUAAGUGUUUUUCCACUCACGUGUAAUUUUUAUAACCUAGAAAACCCAUCAGAAACAAUAUCUCGGGAAACAACCUUUAUGCAACAAGUGCAACCUUUAUCACUUAAAAGAAUGUUUCACCUGCAAUAAGUGCAACAAGAAGGGGCACACUGCCAAUUUUUGCAGAAGCUUAACACCUAUAACAAUAAACCAAUGAAUGGGUACAUGAACUGGUGCUAGUGGAGGACAAACAUGUUAUGAGUGUGGAGAAGUUGAACAUUUCAAGAAAGAUUGUCCAAAGUUGAGGAAUCAGGGAGAGAAUGCUCGUGACAGAGCAUUUGUGAUUGGAACAAGGGACACGAUCCAUGACACAUUUGUGAUGACCGUACGAUCCUCAUUAAUAACUUAUAUGCAAUAAUACUUUUUGGAUCUAGUGCCGAUAGGAUUAUAACCCCAACGUUUAUACAACUUCUAACUCACGAGUCUAGUAAAUUAAAAGAAUCAUAUGAAGUAGAAAUGGCUAACGGUCAGACCGGAAGCAUACAUGAAAUUUUAUAGAAUUGUUUGUUGACUUUAAACAAUCACACAUUCCACGUCAAUCUUGUACCUAUGACCAUUAGAAGCUUUGAUGUUAUUAUCGGCAUAGAUUAAUUAUCUCCUCACCGUGCCAAAAUCUUGUGCUAUGAAAAAGCCACACGAAUGCCCUUACCCAACAAAGAAGCCCUAAUCAUCUAUGGAGACAAAGUUAGGGUAAAACCUCAAGAUCAUAUCUUGCACCAAGGCUCAAAAGUAUUUACACAAAAAAUGCUACACUUUCCUGGCUCACAUUGUAGAUAAAAAGAGAAAAACAAAAGAGAUCAAAUACAUACCUUAGGUAUAUGACUACCCCAAUGUAUUUCCUGAAGAUCUACCUAAGAUCAAAGACACACCUCAAGUGUGUGUGUUUUGACGUUUGAUUAUAGAAAAUAAACAUUAUUAAUUUUAAUAUAUAUAUAUAUAUAUAUAUAUAUAUCUUGUUUAAGAUGUNUAAAAAGAGAACAAAAAUAACAAUGAUAUAAUGUAUUAAAAAGGUAACAUAGUUUAGAUUCUGCAUAUAUUUAGUCACUUAUGUUUAUGUUUGUAGAUAUUUAAUCAUUUAUGUUUUUUUUGUACACAUUGAACCACUUAUGUUUUUUACUUUGUACACAUAUAAUCAUUAAAUGUAAUGGUCAUAAAAAUAUAAAUGAUUAAAUGUGUAUAAAAAUAAACAUAAAUGACUAAAUAUGUACACAAUAUAAACUAUGUUACCAUUUUAAGUCAUUAUCCCAAUAACAAAUAAUGGUUGUGACAAAACUAAUAGAUAAGUAUUUUANCAAAUAGGAAAAUAGAACGGUUCAAUCUUAUAUUAAUCAAACUAUAAUAUACAACUAGUGUUAUACCCGCUUGUUGGUCGGGUUGAUAGAUUUAAAAAAAAAGGAUCGAUUUUUUUUUUAUUUUCCAAAUGAAUGUAGUUUCUAACAUAUUUACUAAAAAUAUUUAGAUAAGUAAAAAAUGUUUUUCUUACUAAAAAAUACAUAUAUUGUACAUGAAGAUCAUUAAAUAUGUCUUUCUUUGCACCUUGUUGAAGUAAAUAAAAAAACUCAUAAUAAACAAAUCAUUAUCAAUAAUCAACACCAUGAUGUAAAAACUAUAGAUCGAUUUUACUUUCUUGUAUAAUAUCGUACUUUCAUUUGUUCCAAUUAUAACAUUGUAUUAUGAAAUUCAUUAUUUUUUGUAUUUAUAUUGCCCAUGUGAUAUCAACUGACAUAAAUUAAUAAUAAUUAGUGAAAUUAAGUAAUCUAACCACUUUUUAAUAUGUAUUUGAAAAAAAACCAGUAUCUUUUUAGCAAAAAUAACCAUUUAGUCCGGAAUAGGCAUUCUGGACAAAAAAACAUAUUUUUUUUAUCGAUUUCAGGACGGCUUUCCGGAUUCAUAUAUCUUGCAUCCACAAAAUUAAGUUGCAGAUAGUUACAACUGAUAGCAAGAUUACCAUAAACUCUAAAAAUAAUCAUAAUUAAGUAUUCUAAAAGCGUCAUAAAAAACGAUCAUCUACAUCUUUUAUGAAAGGCUAUUAACAUCCAUAAACACUGUAUUAACGUAACAACCAUAUACAAAAAUCAAAAUUUGGAAGUUUUACAAAUUACCAUGUUACAAUGAUUCAUGCUUUGGUAACUCUUUGGAAAACACUAAGCCACUUAAUUUGAUAGUUAACUCGUGAAGUCGUGAUGAUAGAUGGCAGUUUACACAAAACUUGACUUGGUUUUAGUGAAGCGAGCCUGCAACAGCCCGUUUGAUGGUAUAAUACUAAAUUAAUUGAUUUACAUGGAAAUUUGAAUGCGAAGGAAAGGGUAUGGUCUUACCAAUUAACCAAGCUUAAUAUAAAUUCCUUAGUUUUUUUAAACAUGUCUUCAAGCUCAUGCUUAACUCUUGCCAUCUCAUCAGUGUCUUCUGACUCGGGUAUUGGCAGAAUGAGACUAAUAGGAAAUAUUAUAACCUUUUGGAAAGCAGACAAUAACAUCAUAAUUAAGUAUUCAAACGGAAUAUCCAAAUUUUAUAAAUUUUUCUUUUAGUUAAAUUCACAAAUACAUGAAACAUAAUAAACACAUCAAGCAAAAAAAAAAAUGAUUUAAUAGAUCAUAAUUUAGGUUCAGGCCACAGAAAAACCCUUACAAAUAAGAUCAAAUCUAUCAAUUACUUUACACAAAUAAGAUCAAAUCUAUCAAUUACUUUACAAUUCUGACCAUGGAUUUAGCCUUCCUCGCAAGUCUUCAACAUACUCUACAAUGAUAUUGAUUCUCUUUGACAAGUUAUUUGGAUGCAACCACUAUAGUCACAAUAAAAGCACCUCCUAACAUGCACUUACCACCAACCCUUCAUUUCACAAUGCUGUAAUAAGUUAUUUCUUGUAUUUAACAAAAACCUAACCUAAUAAAUAAAUAUAUAAAAAGGAACCAAGUUAAGUUUGUAUAAAAAAAAUCAUCAAGAAAAUUGAAAUCAAUUACAUAUCCACUUAGGAAAGAAGGGUCACCUUGUUGAGUGUAAGAGUUAAAUUUGAAUCCUAUGGUUAAAAAACUAUCACCCUGUCUCGAUCAUCAAUCAAGAAGAGGUGAAAGAAAAUAGAAUUACAAAAGCACUUCGGGUUGGAUUGAAGCAGUUUAAGUGAAGACCAAGUAAGUUGGAUGUGUGAAGCAUGCAACAUUUAAAAUUAAUGGCAUUUCGCUUCCAACAUAGUAGGUGUUACACCCCCAAACCGGAACGGCGGAAACGUUCGGGGGCGGAUGACGUCAUGUACAGUAUCACAACAAUUGUAAAAUAGUAAUCAAAGAAACAAUAACCAUUAUAUUAAUAACAUAGUAUUACAUUGAGUUCAAAACAUUACUUGCUUAACAUUAAAACUAUAGCAAAAGAUAAGGUGAAAUGCUACUAUACUCCGUCUUCAUAAUGUCUGAGAGAGUACCUGCUACUAACUUUCCUGAUAAUACAAGUGGUUUGAAAAGAGAGUAUCAACAUUUAAGUUGGUGCUUUCAUAAGUAUUUUGGUGGAAAAGAUAUGUUCUUUAUUAUAUAAAAAAACGUUAAUGUGAUCUUCCAGAAAAUCUAAUAUUUUCUUAUUAAACAAAUGGUAAUCUUAGUACUUUGAGACUAAAAAGUAUAAGUUUUUUUUUAUGUUUAUAACUUGUGAUUUGAGAUUCUGAUUCAUGUACUUAGUAUGACCCGUCCUGUUACCUCCUAUGAUUACUUAGUGUAUACAAAUUUUAUAUAAUCAAGAUCGAACAUACAAUUGAUUGGGUGAAUCUGUCCUAAGCCCACAACCAAACAAGAAACAGGAAGAAAGGCGGAAAUCACACGUUCCACUAUCUAUCGGAUCUUCAUUUUAUAAAAUCUAAAUGGAUACAUUAAGUAUAUAUAGACCUUACUAAUAAGAAUACUUAAUAUAUGUUAUUUAUGAACUUCUAUUUGUACCAUAUCGACAACUAGUAUAAAGUUUUGCUUUUAUUGUAACUGCGUAUAAAUCUAGAAAUUUAAUACUUACAAAUAUGUAAUAUAGUUUUAUUGUUUAAAUAAAACCUUUGAAAGUAUAUUUACCCUGAAAUCUGAAUGUAUGGUUAAUAAUCAAAUAAAACUAUUUGAUAAUAUAAAAUUCGUAAAUAAGUGUUAAAUCCUUUGUAAUCAUAUUCUUAGUUGUAUCCGCUCUACUGUAAAGCAUUGAUUUCAAUAAGCAGUUGUGUUUGUUUUUAGAAAGUCGAACUGUAAACUGUUCACCUGUAAAAUAAUGAUAUUGAUCCUAGAAAAUCCUAUAUUUUCCAUAAUACUGUUUUGUGGUUUUAAACAUUCCAAAACCAAAAAGUAUAGGUAUAAUUGCCAUAAUUAAUUUCAUGAUACAUAGUUUUAUUCAUAAGUAAAACUAACUGAAGGUAUAAUUUGGCCUGUAAAAUAGAUAUGAUGUAAAUACCUUGUCUUAAUGUUUUAAAAGAAGUAUAUUACUACGUAAAUUAAUCGUUGUUUUUCUCCAUGUGAGUUCUUAUAACCAUAUUAUAUGACAAAUAUGCCUGAUGCGACGUUCUUCAGGCGUUGGAAUGAUAUGACAUUUGUCACCUUAGGCAUGCCGGCCUAACUGUAGUGAACAGUUAAGGUGCAGGAUUGUCAGUCCCGUAUAAAUCUAUACACAAAUUCACGCUCUCCCUCCAGGAGAUUUUGGUUAAUAAGUCAGAGCUUACAGUCGUAAUUAGGUAAGUACACGAAGAAGUGUCUCACAAAUUUAUUGUUUCAACGUGAUUAUGAGUAAUACAGUGGAAAAACCUUUUAAUAAAUAAAGAUGACAUUUUUCCAUACACAUGUUUAAAAUGAUUGAUAUUGUGAAUUGAACUUAUAAAUUAUACCUAUUAUAAUUUAUAUGUGUGUUUUCAUAUCGUUUUCUUUACUUAAUAAAAUAGUCCAUAAGUUCCAUAAACUAUUCUUAAUAUACUUUAUAUGCGUGCAAAUUUCGUAAUAUGGACCUUUUGUAUUUUAACAGCCUUGAGAGUUUAUAAGUUUGGUAAUAAAUACGUUUUUUAGUAUUUUUUAUGUACAAUAAUUAUAAAGUAUACAAAAGAGUGAAAUAAACAAUUUGUAUUUUAAACACAAUAUUACUUGUGUUUUUACGUGUGAACGUGGGGAGAAGAAGAAGGAAGUGUGCGGAGGACGACUCUAAGCUCCGAUUAAUAUUUAUAUUGAGUUAUUAUGAUAAAAAGUUGGAGGAGUUUGAACGACUGUGAUUUUGACAACGGUUUUCCACUCGUCGUCGUCCAUAGUAUAAAGAAUAUACAAAAAAAUGAUCUAAGUGGGUAACUAAUUGUCAUUUUUACUUACGUAACUAAUUGUCAUUUUUACUUACGUUUGGUCGUAGAAUAUGACCAUGUAACAGUAUUCUACGAUUUAAAAAGAUGAAACCAUAAUAUAGGUUAUUUCCGGUUAUAAGAUAUAAUUUGAAUAAAAAACUAAAAUUUAAUGGUCAUUAUGUAUAAACAAUAUAAACAAAAGAUGAAAUAUGGACAUAAAUGAAAAUCAUUACUAUCAUAAAUUAUUUUUUAAUUUUAUAUGCCAUGUAGAUGAAAUGUACGUAUCCAUUGGGCAUUAAUUUACUACAAUCAGUUGUAAAAAUAUAACUUAAAUAUAAAAUACUUAAAAGUGUAAGUUAACAAUAAAAGUGUAAGUAUAAAAUAAAAGUGUAAAAAUAAAACUUAAAUAUAAAAUAAAAGUGUAAGUCUUUAGUAUAUGAAAAUAAUAAAAGAUGAAACAAAAAUAGCUUGUAAGAAAAUACCAUAAAAGAAAGAAAUUAUUUUGUUGAAAGUUAACAUUCCAAUAAGGGAUCCAAAGACCUUGAGCGUCGGUUCACAACCGACCAUCGUAUCUAAGCAGUCAACCGUCCGCAUAACUUUCCGUCGAUGUCCGUUCUCCGAUUCCGACUCCAACUCCGUUCCGAUCGUUUCGUUCUGUAAGAGUCUUCAUCGCUUCGUAUCGGCUCUCGGAUCUCGUUACAUCAUCAACACCAUCACCAUCAUCACCAUUGAUUUUUGUCCCGAUUCUUCGAAAUUCGUUUUCUAAAGAAUUUAUUCAAGAUGCGUCGGGCUGCGUCGAAGAAAGGCCCAACUAAUUCAACGACCUCAUCUAAUUCUUCUGCCAUGGAUCUAUUCCGCUCUGGUAUGCAAUCAAUUUUUUGUUUCUCGAUUUCAAUUUCACUAUAAGUAGGUUAGUUUUUGCUUUAGUUUGAUGAUUUCGUUCGAUUUGAAGUAAAAUCAAGGCGCAUGGAUUACUGUUUUUUCAGCUUUUAGCCAGUAGCCGACUUCAGAGGCAAAUUACGAAACCAUAAUUCUGUACAUGUUAUCGAGUUGGUCUAUAGCCGUAUAAAUUAAUUUUAAUCGAACUAUGUUCUCGGAUUAUUAACUUUCAAUUUACUCUAAAGACGCGAUGAAUAGAUACACAAAAACAACUUGCACCGAUCAUGUUAAGUUCUCACAAGAGAGUCACUCAAAAUUCCCUUUUGAUCGUCCCAAAUUCCAUUUGUUGUUCUUAAACCAGUAACUUCGUGUUCAAUCGUUCAUAUGUGGAUUCUGACAUGAUAAAUAACAGCAAUCAUGAAAUAUAAAGCUGUUCAUGGUUGAGAUUUUGAUCAAAGUCGUCUGAUUUAAGCUAAAUCUAUUGCUAAAAAUGCAAGUUUAUCACAAUAUACAUACUACUAAUCAGAUGCAGAUAACUGCCUACUUUCACUUGUAGAGUUAACCUUUCUCUUCAGCUUCAGGUAAAGCUGCAUCCAAGGAGUUGGAACGUAUUGAUCAGCUAUACUAUUCAUAUGCAAAUGAGUCUUCUGGUAUGAUUGAGUAAGUGCUAUCUAUCUAUUUCUUUUGUUGAUUGAAUUUGUUGCAGUAGAUUACUAGAUUCUGCAUCAAGUCUUAGUUCCUUCUUCUUCUUCUUCUUCUUCUUCUUCUUCUUCUUCUUCUUCUUCUUCAUCUCUGAUACAUUCAUGUUUAUAUAAACAGCCCAGAAGGAAUAGAGUAUCUUUGUUCUGACUUAGAAGUUGAACACACAGAUGUACGCAUAUUGAUGCUUGCUUGGUAAGUUCACAUUGCAUCCAUUACUUUCAUUUAUCACAUCUUUUACCACUUCCAUUACUGAUUUCUCUAUAAUUUCCAGGAAAAUGCAAGCUGAAAAGCAGGGAUACUUCACCCUGGUAAUAAAUAAAAGAAAAAAAACUACCUUUUUAACCUAACUAGUAGCAAGAUGAAUAAAAACCUCAUAAAUUUCUAUUCUUUAUAGGAUGAAUGGCGAAAAGGGCUUAAAGCAUUACGGAGUGAUACCAUAGUUAAGUUAAAAAAGGCACUUCCUGAUCUAGACAACGAGGUAUUUUACUAUUUUACCAUACUUUUUUUUUUCUUCAUUUUCUUUAAGUUUUGUUAAAUAAGAAGGAUUUUUAAUUUUUUAUAUCACUAAUUUGUUUGUUUUUUUAAAAAGGUCCGCAGGCCAUCAAAUUAUGUGGAGUUCUAUUCUUAUGCAUUUCGAUAUUGUCUAACCGGUAAAUAUGGUCUACUGUUACUUGGAACUUAUGCAGGUAUCAGAUGACUGACUAUGACUCAGUCAGUAUUCAGUCAUCUGAGCACCAGUCAUCCGAUAUAAUUAAUUAUAUUGGAUGACUGGUGCACUGUUUUUAGGGUAUUUUGUAAUACACAAAGUAUAGUUGCUUACCUUUUGGUAGUACUUUUUUUUGUAAAGGUGUUUUGUGAAAAAAGAAAAUACUACUUUGUUACUCGUUUAUGACAUUAACCUUUUAUUUUUGUUCUCUAAUUUCAAUUGCUUAUUAGAAUUUUUGUAAUGGUUAUUAUAUUAUAUAGAGGAGAAGCAAAAGAGCAUAGAUAUUGAGAGCAUAUGUGAAUUAUUGGAGCUUGUUUUGGGGUCACAAUUCCGCAUGCAGGUGGAUUUGUUCAUUCAGUAUCUAAAGGUGAGCUCAAAAAUUAAAAAUGUCUUUUUUUUUAUUCUUUUAUAAAAAUAAUACAUGUGGUUUAAUUAUUAUCGAUUGUAAAUUUGGAGUAUGUUGCAGACACAGAUUGAUUACAAGGUAAUAAACAUGGAUCAAUGGAUGGGGUUCUAUAGAUUCUGCCAUGAGGUAAUCAUUAAUCAAACACUAUCAUGAUUUUUGUUUUUUUUUUUUUUUUUUAGUUUGAUAGUUUUAAUUUAUUUAUUGUUUUUAACAGAUAAGUUUCCCGGAUUUUAAUAAUUAUGAUGAGGAACUUGCUUGGCCUUUGAUCCUAGACAACUUUGUUGAGUGGGUGAGGUCAAAACAGAGCUAGCUGAUCAAAUUUCAUUUGGUCAACGCAUGGUUUAUAUAAAUAUGCAUAUGCUUCCAGAUACAAUAUCUAAUUAGUGAAGCUCAUUUCUUGAAAGGAUUGAUUAAUUUAUUGUCUCAAUCAAUGUGAAUGAAUUCUUCUAAAACAAGCAAACAAACACAUAUGUUAAAUUAAAAAUUCCCUCCCUUGUUUAUGAACGUGUUGUAUUUCUUUUGACUUAAUCCCCUGUGCGAACAUGAAACGAGUCACCACAAACGAACCUCCAUAACCACAAGAGCGUAUAUGUCAGGGUUUGAACUUGGGUCAAUGAGUUAUCUGUCAUAUUUUCCCAUGCCUUAUCAAUCCACCACCACUCUUGUGGUUACAUGUAUUUCUAAAAUAUAGAGGAAAAGAGUGUAUUUUUUAUAAGGUUUAUGUUACAUUUUUGCCGGAAAAUAGCACCAAUUUGCUCUUUCAAGUAACAAAAGUUGUAGUUGCACAACAACAAUACCUAAAUAGAAAUUAAAUAUCAUUCUACAUUUUCUUUCUAUUUCAUAUUAGUAGAAAGAUAAGUAAGAAAAAAUUAGGAGGAUAUUUAAUUUAUGAUACCCAAAAUCCUUUCUAAUAAAUGAAACCUUUUUUUUGUCACUUAUCACAUUUUCAUUCAAUUUGUCAAAUGUCAUUUUAUGGUUAUUUUGAAUUAAUUUUUUUUUCAUAUGUCAUUUAUGAGUUUUUUUUUUAUUUUAUUAAAUUUCACAUAAUAUUUUAAUGUAAUAAUUGCAAUUAAUUUAGUAAUAAUUGGAUAUAAUUUUUUUAAUAAACUUACCUUUUAAUUUCAAAAUUCCUAAAAUUAAAGUUUAUUAGUUUUUUUUCUUCAUUUAAAUUAUUUGUUUAAAUUUAAAAGAUAAAAACAUUUUCAUUAUAAUACUUCAUUAUUUUUCUUAUUUUCUUAUGAAUUCAAAAUUCUCAAAUAUUUUAAUAUAUAUAUUUAACUUUUUUUUUUUAAAUUAAUCCAUGUNAUAUAUAAAUUAACUUAUGUAAUAUAUGAGUCUUACAAUUAGUCUAGUAACGAAUGAGGUGAGGGAAGGUUGGAUGUAUGUGUUUUAGAGACUAUUCUAAAAGAUGACAUUUGGAAUAUGUAGACAUUAAAACAUAAAGUAGAUAAACAAACAUCUAUAUUUUUUAUAAGGAAUAUUCUCAUUUUGCAUAGGCUUCCUUGAAGGAGGUCCACCAUGUGGUGAAAAUAUGGAGAAGUCUUGCCUUUUUUUGUAAGAGACAUUUACUCUUUUCUGGUCACUUUUAAUUGAAGCUUAAAAGAUUUAAACAUUUGUCUCCUACAUGGGGAGUUUAAUAAGUAAGCCAUCAAGUGAUGAUUAUAACCAUCUGAUGGCUCAAUGGCUCCUUAUAGUGUAGGUGCCAAGCUUUAAUCCUCGAGGUUUCAAUCAACGGGUACAUGUACAUAGGAAGGGGUGAUACAACAUUGUUUGUAAAUGCAAUGCAAACCUGUCUUCAUGUCUUUACAAAAUAAUGAACCACCUCUGGAGGAACCUAUUCAAAAUGGGAAUACCUGUUAAAAAAAUAUGCACUUGAAAAUAUCUAACUUCUCAAAUAUCUACAUAAUUAAUGAUUUUUUAUUUAGAAUUAUAAUUUUUUUAUUAAAUAAGUUCUCACCCAUAAAAUAUGUUUGUUUUUCAAUCUUUACUCGCAUACCAUUUUACCUUGUAAUAAAUAUACUAAAAUUAUUUUGUUUAUAUUUUAGAUAUUUAUCUAAUUUGUAACACCUAUUUUUCAUAAUAGAUCAGUAUAGGCAUUAAGGAGUCAAAGACAUGAUUUUUGAGAAAAACCAUGUGUCAAUGCAUGACCAGAGGAAGGUCCUGAUGUGACGAGUCAAUAUGAGAAACACGGAUACGGAGGCAUGUCACCUCAUGAUAUGAAUACGGUCAUGAUGUGAGGAUGCUUACAGCCCAAGCCGAUGACAUUCUAGGGUUUCCUCCGUAUUUAACACACUAAUCUCGGAUUUACGGUUUCAUUUCAAGCAUCCAUCACCCCUUAGAGCCUUGAAGCAAACCCUACUACUCUCCUCUUCAUUUGUGAGCUUGCCUUUGGUGUUUUGAAGCUUCUGGAAGGAAGAAAAAGGACCUUGUGGUGUAGAGAACCUCUUGGCAUGCUUGAAAUUUGUAUUUGAGCGAUUUCUAGACCAUUGUAAGUGUUCAAGAUCCAAACGUUAUGUUGAUAGAUUCUAGAUCUAGGCAUCUUGUCCCCUUCCCUUCAUGUUAUGGAAGUUUGGAUGGAAUGAUUCCAUAAAUUUGGCAACUUUAUGGGUGCUUGAGGUCCCUUGAGGGCUGUGUUUGUAGGAUCUAAAGUUUGGCUAAGUUUGGAAGACAUUCAUGUGAUUGUGGUUCCAUUUCUUUAUCAUUUUGACCUAAUAUGAGAUCAAGACAAGCAUUGGACAUGCAUUUCUAUAAAACAUCGAUUUUUAGGAUGAUUUUGGAGUAAGAAGGCCCUUUGGAAAUUUGGAUUGGAUGGCUCAUAGGAUUAAGGCUUAAAUACAUUAAGUUGUCCCGUUCUGCUGUAGUCACAACGUGACAAAGAGUUUUCCUGUUUGUUUUGGAUUGGCUUAGUCAUGGCAUGAGGGCAUGGCCAUCACGACAUGACGACGAUUUUGAUCGUGACUAAGUUGUUUGAAGUUGGAGUUUUGGAUCGGGGUUGGUUUAUUGGCUACGACGUGACCAAGGACUGGUCACGGCGUUGGAAUCAGUUGUUAGAGGUGUUGAGUGUUGAUUUUGGUUGUUGACUUUGACUUUGUAUGUCGACUUUUGGAAUGGGUUGACUUUUGGUAACGUCUAAUUUUCACAUCAAAUAUUUUCAUUUUCAAUUAAGGUAAAACUACUCAUUUUGAGAAUACAAGUUAAGAAAAACAUUUGUUCUAAGGUACAUUGUAUAAAAUCAAAGUAUUAUAGAAAACGUGGAAUCUUCAUUGUUGUUGAUGAAUAUAUAUAGUUACGCCUUCGCCUUCCCACGAUAACCGAUGAUACCUGAAAAAUAAUAACAACUAAGUAAGAACUAAGCUUAGUGAUGUAACAUCCCGAUGAUUAGGUAUUUUCAAUUUUAACCCUAUGUAUGAAGGAAUAUUGCAUUUUGAACCUUUUGCAUGAGAAAGAUUGCUUAAAUGGCCCAUAGUGGAAUAUUGGUGAUUUUGGCCAAACACUUAGUAUACUCGGCGUAUGUUGUGUACGCUGAGCGUACUAGGGUGGACCUUAGUAUGUUGGGCAUACACUGCGUACGCAUGGUGUACGUGAUGGAUCCUCAAACCCUAAUUUUUAGGGUUUAGUCCAUAUAUAAUCAUCAUUUACUCCUCAUUUCUCAUUCCCUCAUCAGUCUCCACCUGAGAAAAUGUCCCUCUAGCUAACCCUAAGUGAGAAGAGUGCAUAUUGAGCUCAUCUUUGUGUUUUGGUGGUAUUCUUGAAGAAGAAGAAGAAGGUGGUGGGAAGACUUUGGAGCUUGGAAGCAACUUGGAUCUACGAUUCUCUCCUUGCUAGAAACCUCCAUGAGGUAAAAAAACUCAUAGCUUGAUCAUAUUAUCUUAUAGAUCUAGCCAUUUCUUUAUUUAGGGCAUUUUUGGUCCUAACUAUGAUGAUUCUUGAGCAUGGCAUGCUCUUAGUCAAAUAAGUCGUCCUUUCAAACCUAAUGAGGGGUCUUGAGACAUAAAAAUAUGGUCUUCAUGCUUAGUUUUUCCCCAUGCAUGCUUUAGAAGGUCUUAAGGUGUUAAGAAGUUGGGAUUUUAUGUAUUAAGCACUUAAUGGGCAUGCAAAGUUAGAAAGUUGGAAAAUUUAUGACUCUUAGUGGUAUUUUGGCCUUGGAUCUGAAAUUGGGACAUGAGUGAUUAAUGCAUUAAGAUUUUAUUGAGGAAAAGGGGAUUAUGUGUGUACGCCGUGCGUACCGCCCGACUCCGGUCAAAGACUGAGUACGCCCAAUGUAGGAGCUGAGUACUCCCCCGCAUACUCAACUGAUUGGACGGAGUUGACCUGUUGACCUUGACCUUUGAGCAGAGCUUUGACCAAAUUGACUUAGGGGUAUUUUAGGUAUUUUGAGAUGAUUAAUUUAGAUUAGGUCCUUGGUGUUGGUUAGGUGAUCGUUGAGUCGAUUUUUGUGACCGAGAUUUAUUCAGCUUGCAUUCAGACUGUGAGGUGAGUUUUCCUCACUGUACCAUGGGUUGAAGGCAACAAUGCCGGCCCACUAAUUUAUGUAUCCUGGUUGUAGGAUAGUGAUAUACUAGUAUUUGGCCGAGUAGUAGACCUACAUGAUUAUUUGUAUUUUCUGGUUCUGUGUUUAAGUUUAUCUGUUUCAUAUGUCGACAUAUUGUGUUGGGUUGAGGUUGUACUACUUUAUGGUGUAGCCAACAAACCCGAGAGCAUUCCAGAUAUGAGUUAAGGGCCCGAUUGGCAUGCCAGACUUAUACUGAGGGCUCCGGAGCAUUCCAGAUAUGAUUUGAGCCCGAUAGGCAUACCAGAAUCGUAUUGUGGGCUCAGGAGUAAUCCAUACUUAUGCUAAGGACCUUGCAGGGGUAUUCCAGACAUAGGCUGAGGACCCAAUAUAUGUUGUUAUAUGAUGUGUGUUUGGUACUUUGGGGGAACUCACUUAGCUUUGGAUAACAGUUUUAGUUUAUGGUUUCAGGUACUUCCGAGGAUCAUGGGAAAGUGAAGGCGUGAUCGUACACAACUCCCUGAUUUAUGUCACUGGGUCUUGGGAAAACUUUGAUUUGAAAUAAUGCUUUUGAAAAAAUGACUAAUUUUGUAAACAUUGUUGAUUAAUGGUUGAUUUUGUAAAAUUUAAAUUUAUUGUGAUUUUUUAGUGUUACAAGUUGGUAUCAGAGCCUUGGUUUUAGAGAAUUGGAUGAACAUUUGUGUGAAUCCAGACUCAAACUAGGGAACAACCAAAGUUUUUAAACUAGUUUUCAAAAUUGUUUUCUAAAGUUACCAAUGAAGGAUGUGAUGUGUACGAUCAGCCGGAGCAAGAAAGUAUACCCUAAGUUACCCACACUGUUAUUUGAUGUUAUGUUAUGUUAGAACAACAUGCUAGUGGUAGGCUAGGAUCUUUAAGAAUUGCUUGAUAUAUGAUGCCUGAUAGCCUUGGGCUAUUUCUAGUUUGAAAUUGACAAAAUUACUGUAGUUGCUUAGUGUAUGCAUCACAAUUGUACAUAAUUAAGAUUUUAUAUCCUGAAAAUGUUUUAUUUGGCCUUAUUUCUUGUUCCUUGUUUGGUUGUAGGCUUAGGUUAGAAUCAAGUAUUCGACUAUCUAUGGAAUCCAGCGUUAUGCAUGAUUUGCAUACACGAGUUCUACAAGGUUGGUGGAAGUUUCAUGAAUAGGUUUGUGUGCGAGCAGUCGGUCAGUUGAGGAAUGUCUAACAUUUAUCUAGGGAGCGAGAACAUGAUGUAUGCGUAUCCUAGUGUGUGCUGUUAGGGUUGUUGUGAUGAUCUUCUGAGACUAAUACGGGUAGGUGUGGAAGGUAGUAUGGGCCCGUACUACCGGCCAUACAGGACCCGUACACGUAGUAGGGAAGUCACAAUCCCUAGGGUUUCGUUAUUUGAAAUAGCUCUUAUGGUAUGAAUUAUGCUUUAUCUUAUAGUUUCUGGUUUAUUUCUGUAUGGUGUUCACGAGGGGAUCCGUAUCAGGAGCAGGAGCGAGUGGCCAGGAUAGGUCGUGGUUGACUGAGGAGGAGAUUAGGGCACUGAUUUCUACUAAGGUUGUGACUAUCAUCCGGGGGCAGAUACCGCAACUGUUUGGGUCUAUCAAGACCGACAUGAUUAAGUACUUUGAUGACCAUUACACUACACUUCCUGAGGCUGUUGUUGCUGCAGCUACCACGACCGUUGUGGCCAUUGGGGUUCAUGGAAAGAGGACCUUCCAGUAUUGGGAUUUCAACAAUAUGAAGCCCCCGGUGUUUGAUGGGGUCUAGGAUCCGAUCAUUAGCUAACCAGAAGGUCAAGUGCGCCUGAACCUUCUCAGGUUAGGGCGAAGGAUUGGUGGAGGGUGGUUACUAGCUCCUAUACUCCAGAGCAGAGGAUUGUUGUUUCAUGGGAGCAAUUCUCUGAGAUGUUCCACACGAUAUAUGUCUCAUUGGUUGAGAGGGAGAGAUUGGCCCAUGAGUAUUCGGGCUUGAGGUAGUUCUUUGAGAGGCUCCGGGGCAGACGCUGCCUGCAGCGAAGCGGUUCAAGGCCACUGAUGUGAGAUAUGGGAGUGAGAGUGGCUGCAUUUGUGGCAAGUGCGGUAGGUUUCAUGAAGGUCCUUGCCGAUCUACUUUUGGGUGCCACAAAUGUGGCAAGGAUGGGCAUUACGCUAAGGACUGUCGCCAACAGAUUUUAACGCCGACUACCAGGAUCUGUUAUCGUUGUGCGCAGGUUGGCCAUAUGAGGGCCAACUAUCCUUUGCUCAUUGGGAUGCUGGUGCAGGCUCCAUCGCCAUCUACUUUAAGGAUCACCGAUGGGCGCUAGGGUAGGGCGGAGCCCCGGAGGGCUUGAGGUCAUGCUUUUCAGCUCAUGAAAGAGGAUGACAGGGAGGUGCCAUACAUCGUUACUGGUAUGUUUCCAUUUAUUAUUCUAUCGAUUAUAUUAUGGUAUGCUUAUGUUUAUGUUUCUGAUAGGUACAUUCUUAGUGAAUUAUUUGCCUGCUCUUGUGUUAUUUGACUCGGGUGCGAGUCGGUCCUUUGUGUCUCAGUGUUUUAGUAGGGAUUUUGGUAUGACCCUUAACGAGGUGGAGUGUCCAUUAUGCGUUCCUAUUGCCAACGAACAUAAGAUUUCUGCAUCCAGAGUGUAUCAGGGUUGUGUUUUGGAGAUUUUCGGUGUGCCUUAUCCAAAUGAUUUGAUUCCUAUCCCCAUGGGGGUUGCAUGUGUAAAAGUGAGGAUGUAUUGGAUGAGCAGGUUUGGUGCUAUGAUAGACUACGAGGGCCAUCGAGUGAUAGUUCGAACCUUAAAUGGGGGAGAACUGGUUAUCUAUGGAGAGGGUACCAUGAUUGGGUCAGGGUUUUGUUUGGAGGCCAGGGCUCGAAAAUACAUUCAACAUGGUUGUAUGGGUUAUCUUGCCUAUGUGGUUGAUACACGGGUUGGGGAGCAGACAUCAAUUUCAGAUGUGCCGGUUGUCAAGGAGUUUGCUGAUCUAUUUUCGGAAAUGUUACUCGGUGUGCCUCCUGAGAGGCGGGUUGAGUUCAAGAUUGACCUAGUGCCAUGUGCGGCUCCGAUUUCCAAGGCACCAUAUUGUUUGGCACCACCUGAGAUGCAGGAGUUGUCCUAUCAGCUUCAGGAGCUGUUAGGCAAGUAGUUCAUCCGAUUGAGCAGUUCGCCAUGAGGAGCACCGAUAUUAUUCGUCAAUAAGAAGGAUAGUUCACACCGAAUGUGAAUUGAUUACCGGGAGUUGAACAAGUUGACAGUGAAGAGCCAUUAUCCCCUUUUGCGGAUUGAUGAACUCUUUGAUCAGUUGCAAGGAGCAUCUUGGUUCCCUAAGAUCGAUCUGAGGUCAGGGUAUCAACAGGUGAGGGUUAGAGAAGAGGACAUGGAGAAGUCUGCAUUUCAGACUCAUUAGGGCAUUACGAGUUCGUGGUGAUGCCAUUUGGACUCACCAAUGAAACUUGCAUUGUUUAUGGAUUUGAUGAAUCAGGUGUAUAGGUCGAUGCUCGAUCGAUCAUUUAUUGUUUUUAUUGAUGAUAUCUUGGUGUAUUUCAGGACCAGAGAGCAACAUGAGGAGCACCUUCAAGAACUUUGGGAGUGUUGAGGUGAGAAUGGUUGUAUGCCAAGUUCUCGAAGUGUAAUUUUUGGUUACGAGAGGUCCAGUUCCUAGGGCAUCUGGUUAACCAGAACAGGAUUUUGGUCAAUCCGACCAUGAUUGAGGUUGUGAUGCAGUGGGAGAUUCCGAAGUCUCCCUCAGAGAUUAUAUGACAUCCCCAAAAUCACGGCCAGAAAAGACCGAUUUUGUUUAUGCUUUAUAAAAAUCAGAGUACUUCAUUUUAUAAAAAGGUUGCGGAAUUUGUUCCCAGAAAAACACGAUAAAUACGUUAUUAAAACAUUUUCGAAGUAACGUAUUUUUAUUCAUCUUAAAACGUUUGGGAUGUCAUCGUUAAUACAGAAACAUAAGCAUAACCAGAACUUACAAUUAUUUACACUAGUAAUCUACAUCUCUUUAAAUCUCUCAGUGUAAUGUCACUUCAUAUCGUCACCUGUGAGGUAAAUAAACUGAGUGGGUCAGGUUGGGAAACCUGGUGAGUACAUAGGGUUUUCAACCCACAAUAAUAUAGUUAUUAUGUUUAAACAAUCAAACAAUCAACCCAAUUACCCAUCCCCAUUAUCUUCUUUUAGUCCUCCCUAAAGAUAUUAUCUCAAGGGUCAUCUCCUAUAUCAUAUUUACUUCUCAUCUCCUUACAUCGUAUUUUCAUUUGUGAUUGUUCCUACUAACUUUACCUUAGGAUCAUCGCCUACAUUGCAUAGACAAUACUAAUCCGGGGAUUACUCCCUCAAUAUGUGUCUAGCAAGAGUUAGGGUAUCAUCGCAUGAUUANNNNNNNNNNNNNNNNNNNNNNNNNNNNNNNNNNNNNNNNNNNNNNNNNNNNNNNNNNNNNNNNNNNNNNNNNNNNNNNNNNNNNNNNNNNNNNNNNNNNNNNNNNNNNNNNNNNNNNNNNNNNNNNNNNNNNNNNNNNNNNNNNNNNNNNNNNNNNNNNNNNNNNNNNNNNNNACACACAGUUCGAAUAAACACACAGUUCGGUUAAACACACAGUUCGAAUAAACACCUACAGGUUGCGAGCCUGCUAGUGUUCCACUGGACUGUCUAGAAUAGUCCGUGGUCGUCAUCUAUACUCCGCUAGAUGACUAGAUCAUCAAGAACAGCUAUAACGAGGCCUCUCAUUAUUUUAUUUUGUCACACAGCAACUAUUAUAUCUACCCGUGUUUUACCCCGCACAUUAUGUAGAUAUAAAAUACAUAUACAGUUUGAAUCACUGAAAACAUGUAUAAAACGUUCUUCCAAUAUAGAUAGCAAGUAUACAGAUAAUAUACACACACAGCACGUAAAAUACUUCAUAUCUAUGUGUAAGCUGAAAGUAACUAUGCACUCACCUGAGUAGGUGGUGCCUCAGCACUCGGACAGCUCUUCGAUACUCUCAAAACGAUAUUCCUUUGAUAAAACCUAGUAUCGAUACCACUAGGGUUUAGUUUAACGAUAACCGCGACAAAUUAAUUAGUCCGAGUAUUAUUAAGCGUUAAUAAUACUCGAUAUAACUCAUAAUAAUAGCCCAAAUAAUUAUUUUAAGGACCUAAUAACAUUCCUAUAAUUAUUUGAAAGCUAUAUUAAAAAUUGCGUAAGCGUAGCACACUUACAGCGAAUUUUAUCGAAAACCGGAACUUAAUUGGAGCAGCGUUUCGAAACCGAAAAACUCCUUUUUCUCGGGACUCCGGGAGCCUCGGGGCUUCCCUAGGGUGCUAGGGGUUUAACUAGGGCUUAGGGGAGGUUUGGAACUCUAGAGAGAGAAAGAAACUAGAGAGAGAAGUGGAAAUUGUGUGAAAAAUGUGAAGGCCCUCGCCCCUUUUUAUACCCUGCGAGGCCUCGGACUACGCUGGGCGUAAUCCUUGGCUACGCGGGGCGUAACUUCGGAUGGGGCUGCCACAUCGAAUCUAGCUGUCUCGCACUCGGAAGGGAUAAGACCGAAGGGUACGCUGGGCGUAACGAACUCGGACGCGGGGCGUAAGGCGAGGCUUCGUGGCAUGAUCCGAAGCGAGAUCUGAAUCAUCAUCCGACGGCCCACAACGUGCCACGUCAUCAAUCCUCAUCAGCCUUCGCAAAUUCGAUUAUAAACUUUAAAAAUUCGUAACUUUCGCGUACGAGCUCCGUUUUCGACGUUCUUUAUAUCCACGCGAAGGUGGGAACGUACUCUACAACUUUCGUUUAGACUUCGUCGGCUAAUUUUGGCUCGAUUUUAAAUUUUAUAUUAUUAACGGGCCGGGACACGAUUGGUCCGUUAAAUCCUCAUAACUUCUUCAUCCGACAUCCGUUUUCACCCAUCUUUUUCUCGUUACGCUACUCUCAACGAGAUCUUCGAUUCUCCUUUAGGUCGUGUCGGCUAAAAAUCACUCGAUCUAAUAUUCGAAUUUCGAGCUGUACACUGCUAGUACGAAACUUCGAAAAAUCAUAACUUCUUCAUACGAAGUCAGAUUUGGGCGUUCUUUUUAUCGAUAUUCUUAGUUUAACAUAUUCUACGACUUUCGUUUAGAUUGCUAAGGCUAAAUCUCGCUCUAUCGUAAAUUCACUAUUUAUGAUUCCUGGUGUCGUGCCGGUUCUGUCGCGAAACUUCGACGGAUCAUAACUUCUUCGUUAUAACUCGGAUUUCGGCGUUCUUUAUAUGUACAGAAACCUCAUGACAUAUACUACAACUUGGUUAAGAUUAUUUAUUCUAAAUAAUAUUUUGUCGAAAAGUCGUUUUUGACCCCUAUUGCCGCUAAUUUGACUAGCCCAGAUUUGCGGGCGUUACAGAUUAGGAGUUUCUUGGGUUUAACAGUAUAUUAUCAGAGAUUUAUCUAGGAUUUCUCCAAGAUUGUUGUACACCUCACUGAUCUGAUGAGGAAGGGCGUGGAUUUUUGAUGGGGCCCUGAGCAGCUGAUGACAUUUGAGACACUGCGACAGAGGUUAUGUGGGGCCCCGGUGUUGACCUUUCCAGAGGGUGUUGAGUAUUUCGUUGUAUUUUGUGAUGCAUCCAUCACUGGUUUGGGGGUGGUUCUUAUGCAAGAGGGCGAGUGGUUGCGUAUGCUUCUCGACAGCUAAAGCCGCAUGAGGCACAAUGUCCUACCCACGAUCUGCAGUUUGGGGUAGUAGUGUUUGCCCUCAAGAUUUGGCGACACUACUUGUAUGGGGUCAAAUGUACUAUUUACACAAAUCACAAGAGUUUGCGAUAUCUUAUGGACUAGCUGAACCUGAACAUGAGACAGUGCAGGUGGCUUGACAUGGUCAAGGAUUAUUGUUGAGUCCAAGAAGAUUGCGUCAUUGGGCUUUGUAGUUCGGUCCAUUAAGUACUCUAGGUCUAGGCCUAUCCAGCCGUGAUUUGUCUAGGGUUUUGUAUAUAUAGUGCAUGCCAGCAUUUUAUUGUUAACACUUUUGAUAAUUACUUUGCUUAUCGUAUGGUAACGCUAGCCUAUCUCUACAGUAGCAAUUCACAUUGAAUUCUUCUGAGAUAGAGCAUAUUAAUCAUUUGACACACGUUUGAUUUAUUAUUGUGUUCAUCGUUUUCCAUUCCUGUCGUUAUUCUUCAUUUAUAUGCUAAAUCUAUCGAUCUAAGAGAAUAAUGACUGUGUAAUUUUUAUUUAGAAGGCGUACCAAUUGCUAGAUUCAUUCUUUAAAGUAAUUUUUAUUUAGAAGGUGCAACGACAAGCGGUGAAUAUUUGAGACAUUCAACCACUUGCAUCAUGUAUGGAUCAUACUGGAACGGUGACAGUUCAAUGAUGAGAUUCUGAUUGGGUUUGAUUGUGAGAAGAGAGGACUGAGCAGUUUGUUCAUGAACCAAAGAAGAAUCUACCAUUGAUGAUUCUGAGGGAGAGGACGAACAGUAGAGAGAGAAUAUGAUGAACAACUGUUGUGAGAAUUUGGAAGUGGUAAAGUAUUACAAGAGGUGUGAGAAACCCUUAUAUACCACUCCUAGGAGAGAGAAAGUAUCAACAGUAAUGAUGAUACGAUCUUCUGAAUCGACGCCUGAAAAAGCGCGAUUUGACAGCUGUAUAUCCCUAUGAAUACGUCAUUAGGUGUGAUGGCAGAAACCAUUUCAAAUUCACGUGCCAUUUGCUAUUCUUAUCCAUUGACUUGGUUUGAAAUAUUAUCUUGUUACCAACUCUUCAACUUCAGAAACGUUUGAAAUUCGUUUGCCAACUGUGACUAGCUCUUUCGCUUCAUAUAAGAAUUAAUUUAUAAUUUUAUAUUAAUAUUAAAAAUUAGGGAAAAUUUAAAAGUAGUUAUAAAUUACUCGCUCGUCCGGACAAGUCACAACAUUCAUAUAAGAACUAAAGAUCCGUGUAGGUGAGCUAUGAUGGCUUGGUAUGUACAUCAGGGUUUUGCAUAACUAAGAUUUUGCAGGCUUAGAGUGAGUGAUUCCGCCUCAUUUCCUGUUCCUUGUCUGGUUGUGGAUUUAGGGCAGAGUCACUCAGUCGACCGUCUUAUUCAUCAUAAUUAUACGUAACUUUUAUAUUCUAAGCGAUCAUGGAGGUACCGUGAAGGAUCAUAAUAUAAAGUAUCGUCACUAGUUAUCAAAUCACUUUCACUGCUAGUACUCGCUUAUUGCAGUACGUUUUGUGGCAAUGUUGAUAUCGAGAAAGCAGUAGAAAGCCUACACAGAAUGCAUUGUCGAGCACACUCGGGAUACACCAUCGUUAUAACAGACAUUUCUUUCAAAUCGACUUAACACUUAUUUCUAUAAAGAGUCUGACGUCAUCAUUAAACGUGGAUUGGCGUGGUCCUCACCAUACCAAGUUCAUGUGUUACGAAAACCUACUGCCUUAACCGACCGAUUAACGAAACCCUCAUCACUCGUAACGACAACCCGACACAUACCUCAGAAUCGUCUCUCUCAUAUUCCAGACCCGAAGUACUCAUGUGAGGAGUACCUUCCCUCCUAAACCUUUCCGAUGUAUACUCAUCAAACCUUCCAGAACUACUACUCGUCCAACAGGUCAAGUUUAAGCAUAGAGGCUAAGGAUGAAUACGGUUUACCUAUCACUACUAAGUGUAUACGCGAAAGUAGUAUAUAAUUAAGAUUUUGCGGACUAAGAAUGUGUGCUUCCGCCCUAUCUCCUGUUCCUUGUUUGGUUGUGGACUUGGGGCAGAGUCGCGCAUUCGACCGUCAUACUAGUCUUAAUUAUAUACGACUUGUAUACACGAGAUAAUGAUAGAUGGACCAGGUAUGAAUCUUAUCAUGAACUUCAGGGCAAUGUUGCCCAUGUCUACACGUGAAUAUUCUACCAUUCAGAGAGGCACAACCCCUAAAGUCCUGCUAAGAAAGCUAAUUUUGGGACAAAAUUCUCUCUAACGGGGGGAUGAUAUGACCACCCGUAAUUUCAGUCUAGUAAAAGUCAACAAAAGCCAAGCAUGUUGUAUAAAGGUCAAACUCAAAUCUUUUAUUAUCUUAUAUGGCAAGAUUAUUUGGUUUUAAGUGUUUAAACCUUGUACCGAAGGUGUUUUUUUAAGAAGUGAAACAUUAUGGAUCGAGAACACCUCAUAUCAUUCUUCAUCCGAGCCGUGAACUCGCUUCGGUUUGUGGCUGUGAAUGAGGCUUCGGCCGUGAACAGUCUUCGAAGCCAUGAACCCUCGGCAGUGAACCUUCGGCUGUGAACACCUUGGACUGUACACUCCUCCCUAUAUAUAUGUGAUUGAUCGACAUUAUCCUCAUUUCUUCAUUCUUGGCCGUGAACUCAAAUUUCUCUCUCAAGUAUCAUAUACCAAGAACACCAUUUUCACACUUUUCUUCCCUUUUUCUGUUGCAUCUCCUUAGUAUACAACUUAGGACCUUCAAGCACUUGGCAAUCAUCAAAAUCUUCAAGUUUUCUUCCCUGAUUUUGGGCCGUGAACCCUUCUUAGGGCCGUAAACAUCCAUGGGCUGUGAUCCCUUCAUGGGGCCGUGAACCCAUUAAGCCAGGCCUUGAUCAACUUUCAGCCUUCCAUUUUUAUAUUCUAACACUUCCUUGUAAGUGUUCCGUACUUCAUAGGCUAUUUCCUUUGCACAUUAGAUAUUAAAUGCCCUAACUGUAUACAUAUAUAUGUCACAAUAUGCUAUUUAGGACUCGUUUGUGCCCUAGGACUUCGUUCGUGAGUAUAACAUCCUUAUUCUAGUCUUCAUUCGAAUCACUCACAUAAGGUGAGUUCAUACCCUCAUAUUUUCCCAAGCUUUUUAACGUUUUAGGAGGGGGGGGGGGGGGAAUACAAGUAAAACACAAAGAAUGUUGUGUUUUAAAAUAUAAAUUGCUUAUUAUGUCUUUAUUACCAUUGAAUUGUAUUUAAAACAUGAAACUUAUUAAAACAUGGAAAUAAGCUUAUAAACUAAAAUAAGUAUAGUUUAUGGAACAAAAGAAUCUUUUUAUAAACUUAUCUGUAAUUUAUAAAAAGGGUUUUCGCAUUAGUACUUGUAAAGUCGUUAAUCUAGUUUGUGAGACAUGUCUUCGGGUACCUACAUAUGUAUUAGUGGAAGUCUACCCUUAUGAACCAGAGUCUCCUUGAGGUGAGUGUGAGUUUGUGUAUAGAUCUAUAUGGGACCAAAAAUCCCUCACCUCUACUGUUAGCUACAGUUGGACCAGCAGGUCCGCGGGUGACCAAGUCAUAAAUGAUUGGCGUUCGUUACACAUCAUAUCUAAUAGUAUGGUCAUAAAACUUACAAGUAGAUAAAAACGAUAUAUUUACGUAGUAAUAUACUUUUUCAUGAACAAUCUCAAGGGAUAUUAUCCAGUGUUGCAAAAAUCGGUCUAGGCGGCCAAUUAAUUCCCGCUUAGAUGCUAUUCGGCCUUUAACUAAUUACGAAUAGGCCUUAGAGGGUUAACAUAAUCAGCCUUAGUCAAAAACGGUAAAAGUCGGACCAAAUCGGCCAAACUUAGCCCAAAAUUUGAACCAACUCAGUCCAAAACCCGGACCAACUCAGUUUGAAACGAUUUAACCGGAUUCAAAAAACCUGCCGGUUUAAUAAAUCAACCGGUUAAGUAAUGAACCACGCUUCAUUAGUAUAGCCAUAUCCUUUUAUAGUGCUGAUUUGCCUUUCUUUUCUUCUCCAUCCAGCGAUGUGGGAUAGCCAAGAAAUAUAAAAAAAACCACUCUCUUACUUUGCUUUGAUUUUUUUAAUUCUUAUACACAUACACUGUGUAGUAUAUUUUAAUAUCUAUUACAUAACACCACAUAUAUGAUAUAUUCUAUUAAAAACACACAACAGAAGUAUAAUUUAUUCUUUUACAAACACAUAUAAUCUAUUCUUUUAGACACAUAUAAUUUAUAUUACAUACUUAUACAAAUAUAUAGUGUUUAUGCCGAUUAAUCUUCAUUUAGCCGAUUAAUCCCUUAACCCCAGUCCACAAAUUAGCUAACGUCUAGCGUUUUUUAUAACCUUGAUAUUAACUAUGUGAUUACUCAAUAUGUACAAUAGGGCUAGACAAAAUUGAAGUCCUGUAGACAGUGGAAUGUGUGACUUUUGCCUUACUUCCUAUUCCUUUUUGGUUGUGGGCUUAGAGCAGAUUCACCCAUUCAACUGUCUGUUCGAUCUCAAUUAUGUACUACUCGGAUGUAUUAAGUAAUCAUAAGAAGGUAGUAUCGUUGCAUUAGGUUUCCAGAGCAACCAAGUCUUCAGCCAGUCUAACUUAUCAACAAAACUAAAUGUCAUUACAGUAAGUAUAGUAUUUGUACUUGUGCUUUUCGGUCUUGGAACGAGUAAGACUAGAAAUCGGUUUUAUAGAAAAUAUAUGAUUUUCUAUGGUAAACAUUGUUAUUUCAAAGAUCAACAGUUUCGAUUGAACAUUCUGAAAAACAACAUUUUACAUUAGAGUAAAUGGAAUUAAGAACCUUUUUACAAAAGGUUCAACACUUGUUAACAAACUAGUAUAACAUAAAGGACCUUUAGUGGUUAAUUCUAUAUUUUCUUAUUUUGUACAUCAAAGUUAUAUAUAAAUAAUAUCCGAUAAGCAGUUGAAUGUGUGAGUUGCGCCUUACUUCUUGUUCCUUGUUUGGUUUUGGGCUUAGUGUAGAUUCACACAUUUAACUGUCCGUUCGAUAUUAGGUUAUAUAUAACUAGUAUAAACUAAGUGAUUGUAGAAGGAACUAUUGUGGUUAUCAUUUUACUAAAGAAAAUAUAAGAUUUUCUUAAAAGGAUAUUUUCAUCAUAUUUCAAAGAACUAUUACAGUUAACUCCGUAAGCACCUGGUGAAUACAUCAGGGUUAUAUACAAUGAAGAUCUAACAAACAAUGGGAUGUGUGACUUCUGCCUCAUUUCACGUUCCUUGUUUGGUUGUGGGCUUAGCGUAGAUUCACACAAUCGAUUGUCUAUUUGAUCUAGAUUGUAUAUAACUUGUAUUCAUUAAGUACUCAUAGAAGGAAUUGUAUGAGUCAUUUUUACUUAUCAUUUCAUCACAUCAGAAAAUAUAGGAUUUUCUGGAGGAAUAGGCGAACUUUUCCAAAGAACUAAGAGUACACUUUUAUAACAAAAAUACUUAUGAACUCACCAACUUAAAUGUUAAUAAUCUCUUUCAAAUCACUUGUAUUCUCAGGAAACCAAUAGUUAGGUACAGGCACUGGGAUUUAGAAGAUGGAGCAUAGUAGCUUCCUGUCUUUGUUUUGUUAUUCACUUUUGGAGUUAAUCAUAUGUGAUUCGAAUACAAUGUAAACCUUUAAUAUUAAUGCAAUUGAUGUUGUUGCUUAUUUUACUAUGAUGCAUGUGUUGUGAUACUUAACAUGACGUCCUCCUCCCCCGAACGUUUCUGCCAUUCUGGUUUGGGGGUGUGACAUUAUAUCAGAUCGAGAUGUUCGGUUCACUUCCCAAUCUUGGCAGAAGUUCACUAGGAACUGGGUACGAGGCCAUAUUUCAGCACUGCUUAUCAUCCGCAGACCGUCGUCUAUAGUGAGCGGACCAUCCAGACACUUGAGGAUAUGUUGCGGGCUUGUGUCAUAGAUUUUGGUGGGAGUUGGGAUUCCUAUCUACCUCUUGCGGAGUUUUACUACAGUAAAAACUAUCACUCUAGCAUUGGUACACCGCCCUUCGAGCUUCUGUAUGGUCGGAGAUGUCGUACCCUAGUUUGUUGGGGGGAGGUUGGUCACAGAUUCAUGGGUAGGAUUGAGGUAGUCCUCUAGACUACAGAGCUCAUCCAGUUGAUCAGGAAAAGAUUGCAGACAUCUCAGAGUCAGUAGAAGAGCUAUGCCGAUCGGUGUCAAUCAGAGUUGGAGUUCUAGGUCAGCGAUAUGGUGCUACUAAAGGUCUCACCCUGGAAGGGUGUGAUACGCUUCAGGAAGAGGGGGAAGUUGAGUCUCUUGUAUAUUUAACGUUCCGUGUGAUCGUCAUGGUAGGCAGGGUGACCUACCUGUUGGAUUUUCUGAAUGAGCUCAACUAGAUCCACAACACUUUCCACGUUUCGCAGUUGCAGAAGUGCGUGUUGGAUGGCGAGGCGGUGGUUUAUUUGGAUGAUAUUCAAGUCAAUGAGCGCCUGAAUUAUAUUGCGAGGCCGAUAGCGGUGGUGGAGAGAAAGAUAAAGUACUUAUGCAACAAGGAGAUACCUUUGGUUUCAGUGGCAACAUCAGAGAGGUUCCGAGUGGAUCUGGGAGCCAAAGACGGAGAUGCGGGAGCAUUAUCCUGAGUUAUUUGCAGCAUCGGACUACAAGGACGAAGUCUAGUUUAAGAGGGUGAGAAUUAUAACAUCCCGAUGAUCAGGUAUUUUCAAUUUUAAACCUAUGUAUGAAGGAAUAUCGCAUUUUGACCCUUAUGCAUGAGAAAGAUUGCUUAAAUGAUUCAUAGUGGAAUUUUGGUGAUUUUGGCCAAAGACUUAGUACGUUGGGUGUAUGUUGUGUACGUUGGGAAUACUAGGUCGGACGUUAGUGUUGGAUUAAUGUCUAAGUCCAUAACUAUAUUUGGUAUGUACUUGACCCGACCCGGCAUGGUCCAUUUGGGUUGCACUUCACCGACACAAUUUAUAUGGAUAGUCUUUUGAGAAUAGUAUAUUGAUGAUUUAUAUUAAUAUAUUAUUAAUAUUUAAUCAUAUUAUUUAAUUAGUAUUGAUCAAGAAUUAAUUUAUAAUUAAUUAAGUGACCAAAAUGAACUAAUUAAAUAUGGACUCUUAUAUAUGGAAUGGGCCAAGUUCAUUUAGGUUGGGCUAUGCUUUCAUAGAUAGUCCAUGGAGUCUUUAACCCAUGGAUCAUAUGAAAUGAAAGGUCAUGGGUUUAACCCUAGACUCCAUACUAUAUAAAGAUGUCCUUGGUUGGUGAAAUUGGCACUAGUGUGGUACACUAAGAAGGGCUAGCCGAUUUCACUAGAGAGAACCAAGUAUCCAUCUUCUCUAAAGUCUUCCAAGGUGUUUUGGUGAUUUGUGAUUCCACUUGAGGCUUCCACACUAUUGGGGCUAAGCUCUUAAAGCUUGAAGACAUCAAGCUACAUCAAAAGGUAUGUCAUCUAACUAGUACUUUGUAGUAUAAGAACUUCAUAAUAUGCUAGUUAGGAUUAAAGCCUUGGAAAGUUCUUAUUUGCAUGUAUAAUAGAGAAAACAUAGAUCCAAGGUUUAUAGGGUUGCAUGUACACCAUAGGAGUGUUAGAAUGCUCAAAACCCAACAGUGGUAUCAGAGCCACGGGUUGUUUUCUGUUAUAUUGAUGCAAAUAUUUUAUUUUCAAAGUUGAAAAAAAAAAAAAAAAAAAACAUGAAGUUUGUCAAAUUUUAAGAUAAUUACUUGUUCUUGUGAAAAACUAAUUAUUUGUAAAAUUUGAAUAAUUUGCUUUAUGAGUUGAAUUAGGUCAAAUUUAAUAAAAGAUAAAAUAAUAUGAUUAUUUUAUUAGUUUUAAAAGUUUGAUCUAAAGAGUUUUAUUUUUUGAAACCUCCAUAAGUUAUGGAUAUGAAAAGGUUUUAAAAAAAAAAUUGAUUCAAAGUUUUUUUGGAGUUACAAAAUUUGGUGUUAAUGUUUUAAAGGAUUCCAUAACUUAAGAAUAAGUUAUGGAUCACCAAAAGUUUUUUGUGUUACCUUGUUUUAUGAGUGAAUUUAGAUUAAUGAAUAAAAUUAUGUGAUAGUUGGUUUUAAUCCAAAUUAAUCUAAGAAUUGAUUCUAAAAUGUGUUUUUGUAACUUGUCCUCAAGUUAUAUGAAAAGUCACAUUUAAGAAUCAUAAAACUCAUAAAAAUUGGCAAAGGUUACAAAAAUGAAGAGUCUAGUUCUAAUUAAAUGGUUUUAUGACUCCAUAACUUGUCCUCAAGUUAUGGAGGACCAAGAGUCUCUUCAUUUAAUAAAAUAAAAUAAAAAAAAAAAAAGUGUAACCUUAAUUAAUUCCAUAAGUUAUAAAAUAAAGAAAAGUUAAUUCUUUUAUUAGUUUAAAGUCUUCCAUAACUUGUCCUCAAGUUAUGGAACUUGAAGAGUUUUUGGAUUAAAACUACUUUAAACACAUAAGUUAUGGAAUUAAUUAGUUUUGAAUAGUUUCAAAACUUGCCCUCAAGUUUUGGAAUUUGUAAAGUUUUCACUUAUGAAUACUUUAAUUCCAAGUUAGCCCUUAGAAUUUUAAAAGUUAAAAUUCAACCCUUAUACUUUAUAAUAUUAUAAGUUAAUAAUAUAUAUAUGUAUAAGAGUAAAGUCAGUCUUACCGCUAGUACGCCUCAUUCACGAAGCCGGUCUAUAAGGUGGGUAUAAGGUUGUUGCCUAUAAAAUGGCAACUUAAUGGGUGUCCACUCUCACCCACCGCUUGCUUGACUGGUGGAGGGUCGUUAGCCGAACGGGUUUGACAGGACUAGAAUUCUCCCUUCAUUAAAAGUAUUAAUGAUAAUACUAAGUAACUAAACUCUUAAUAAUACCCAAUCUUAGUUACUUAGGAAAAAUGUGAAUAAGGUGCUAAUCCAUGAAAUUACACUUUACACUUUGUCUAAGUCGUUAGUGGAGCGUGUGUGGUUAACCGGCACACUAACUUGGACUUAACAAGGUAGGUAAAGGGUGACUUAAUAUUUAUCAUAGUAUCGAUGGAGCGUGUGUGGUUAACCGGCACAUCGAUUGAGGGGUAAUUUAUUAAGGGUACCAAGUGAUUUGCAUGGUUACUUCACACCUUGUUUUGUGAUCCUCGGCAUCCCAGUCACAAAACCUGAAGGGCACACUCGAGAUUGAAACAUGCCUUUGAAAAGUUCAAUGAAUCUCAAAGAUCUAGGAGUUUCAAAACCAAUUAAAACCUAAUAAUACAUUUCGUUUAUCUUGGUGGAAAUUGGUGAAUCGUCAUUCACCUACCUUCAAAUAUUUUAUAGCUUGGAUUACGGCAUACCUCUUCUAAGUUAUAAAAUAGUUUGUUGGGUCCUAGCCUUAAUAUUUCAUAUUGGGUGUCAUAUUAAGGACUUUAAAUCAACUAUCUUGAAUAUCUCCCAAAAGAUGUCUGGUUUAGACACCUAUGAUCUUCCCAAAUCUCUUGAAACAAGGUUUCCUAAUGAAGAUGAUGUCCCAUGGAUAUCAUACUUCUUCACCUCUUCAAAUUAUUCUCCCUAACCCACAAGUUCUUGAAAAGUUUAAGGUCACUCAGGCCCUUUUGGCAAGGCAAGGUCUAGGUGUGGUCACAUCUUGGAGAUGUAGUCACAUAUUGACAAGCCGGGAGAGUUGGGUGUCAAAGUCUUGAGAAAGUUGGUGGUUCAACUACUUUCUAAGUCACAUAGUGAGUUCUUUUGGAACACCUAUGAAAAAGACUAUGACAAGACCCUUAAUGAUCUUAUCUAUUUGUUAAGAUCAACUUCCUAAAACUUUAUGGACAUUGACAAUGAUGACAUUGGAUAUCCAGU
rnacentral:lncRNA from 1 species